CCAUCACAGUCUUUAAAGACACAAACGCAAACAGGAAGGUUAUGAGAGAAAGGGGCUCCCGCUCUUCCUCCCCCUGUUGUGGCCACGGCGGCUCACAGCAUUGCCCUGCACUCUCCCUGGGUCCUCAGACCUUCCCUGGGCUCCGUGGGGUCAUAGCCCUUCAACAAGACAUUGAUCACACAUGCAAAGCUUCAGACGAGAGCGAGGAUGCCCCUUCACCUUGUCACUCGGCCCAUUUCCACCGGGCCGUUCUCGCUCUCACCUGCAGGACCAUCACCUGAAGUUCCAACUGUAAGGAAGAGGUUACCCUCGACGUGUUGACUGGUCCGAAGCCUAGACGGCUUGCAAUGAAAUGGGCAAUGACCACUCGGGGACGAUGGAGACGUUCUCUCCAUGUGGCCAACAUCUGCGGGACGGUGAGAUUCUACUAAACUGCAGUGUUCCCACAGAGGAGUCGUGAUUCAGAAGGAAGCCAAAACCAUAAGUGACCUUGUUUUACAUUUCUACUCACUUUGAGACCUCCUCUCGGCUUCCUUCCUGGCAAAGGACUUCUUCAGAGGGAACCAAGAGCCUAUUUUGCCUUUUCCCACAGGCCAGUUAAACACCAUUAUGGCUGCUUGUGUUUAACCGCCAUCGCACAAACAGCCUUGAGGAGAAUUCAACAGCCUACUCAGAGGCUGUCUCCCAAGUCCACUGAGAUUGGCAAUGACAAAACUCUCAAUCCAAGGACGAGAAAUUGCUGCUGAGGAAGAGGCUCCCCAACCGCACUAUUUCUACGCGGCUUUGGUGUGUCCCGCGGCAAGUGGCCUCUUGAUUCCGGAUCACGUGGCCAGAGACGACCACCCAACACUCUCCCCGCCAGGGAAAUUACAUUCCCACUCAUUCACAAUUACAGUCUGUAGAGUCGCACAAAACAUCCCCAAGCCUUGUGCAGACAACCCCACAUCACAUAAAAGGAACAUGAUCCCGGAGCACGUGCAGG